CGGAUACGUCUACUUUGUCUAAUUGCAGGGCUGAUCCAGAUGAUGAGGGGUUUACGACUGACGAUGCGAAAUUUACUGUUUCAACUUUGAUUGAGGUAUUUUCGGGUCUUUCCUUACUUGAAGAGCUUGUAUUAGAUGUUUGUAAUAAUGUUAGAGAUAGUGGUCCUGCUCUGGAAAUACUGAACACAAAAUGUCCCAAGUUGAGAUCUUUGAAGUUGGGGCAAUUUCAUGGCGUUUCUAUGCCAAUCGGGUCGAAGUUGGAUGGAGUUGCGCUUUGUCAGGGGCUUAAAUCGUUGUCGAUUAGAAAUGUAGGUGAUUUGGAUG
rnacentral:misc_RNA from 1 species